UACGUAGGGCGCAAGCGUUGUCCGGAAUUAUUGGGCGUAAAGAGCUCGUAGGUGGCUUGUCGCGUCGGGAGUGAAAUCCACUGGCUUAACUGGUGGCUUGCUUUCGAUACGGGCAGACUGGAGGUAUGCAGGGGAGAACGGAAUUCCUGAUGUAGCGGUGAAAUGCGCAGAUAUCAGGAGGAACACCGGUGGCGAAGGCGGUUCUCUGGGCAUGUCCUGACGCUGAGGAGCGAAAGUGUGGGGAGCGAACAGG
rnacentral:rRNA from 1 species